rnacentral:rRNA from 1 species
CCUAACACAUGCAAGUCGAGCGGAAACGACACUAACAAUCCUUCGGGUGCGUUAAUGGGCGUCGAGCGGCGGACGGGUGAGUAAUGCCUAGGAAAUUGCCUUGAUGUGGGGGAUAACCAUUGGAAACGAUGGCUAAUACCGCAUAAUGCCUACGGGCCAAAGAGGGGGACCUUCGGGCCUCUCGCGUCAAGAUAUGCCUAGGUGGGAUUAGCUAGUUGGUGAGGUAAUGGCUCACCAAGGCGACGAUCCCUAGCUGGUCUGAGAGGAUGAUCAGCCACACUGGAACUGAGACACGGUCCAGACUCCUACGGGAGGCAGCAGUGGGGAAUAUUGCACAAUGGGCGAAAGCCUGAUGCAGCCAUGCCGCGUGUAUGAAGAAGGCCUUCGGGUUGUAAAGUACUUUCAGUUGUGAGGAAGGGGGUAGCGUUAAUAGCGCUAUCUCUUGACGUUAGCAACAGAAGAAGCACCGGCUAACUCCGUGCCAGCAGCCGCGGUAAUACGGAGGGUGCGAGCGUUAAUCGGAAUUACUGGGCGUAAAGCGCAUGCAGGUGGUUCAUUAAGUCAGAUGUGAAAGCCCGGGGCUCAACCUCGGAACUGCAUUUGAAACUGGUGAACUAGAGUACUGUAGAGGGGGGUAGAAUUUCAGGUGUAGCGGUGAAAUGCGUAGAGAUCUGAAGGAAUACCAGUGGCGAAGGCGGCCCCCUGGACAGAUACUGACACUCAGAUGCGAAAGCGUGGGGAGCAAACAGGAUUAGAU